UCUUGAAUGUAAAGUUAAGAAUUUGGAUUUGACUCUUUAGGUGAUUGGGAGCCACUGAAAAUUUCUGCAGAAAGAACUUCAGCUGUCCUUUAGAAAAUCAGAGAGACAAACUUGGAGGCCAGUGAAGAGAGCACCCUUCUGCCUAUAGAAAUCCUCCUCAUUCAUCAAGAUUCAAUUCCUGAGACAUCUCCUCUGCAUCUCCCACACAAUCACAGUUAAUGAUUGCUCCUUCAGGAGGAAACACCUGCUCUGAAUUCUCUCCUCCCAGAAUAUGGGGCAUGCAGUUCACUCCAGGGCAAGAGAGGAAAGGGACCUGAGACCUUGCCUCCCUCUCCUGCCCCUCCUGCCUGCCUGCCUGCCUGCCUGCAGCAGGAAGACUGUCUAUUACAUUCCAAGUCCCCAUGGAGACAGUCCCAGAAAAGUUCGCCUUCCAGCCUCUUCGUGGGACCAUCAGACAAGCCAGAGGGGAAGCAGGCAGAUACCACAACCAUUGGCCACGUGGAGGAGGAGUAGCAGGCAAGCUGGAGACUGAGAGAAGAGAAGAAAGAGAGUGACAGGAACAAGGGCCGCAUGAGGCAGGAGUUUCAGCUUGGUGGCAUCUGAAACGUCUCGAAAUUCUGGGGAAUCAAGAGACUGUUAUCCUAUGAAACCCACACCCACCU
rnacentral:lncRNA from 1 species